GCGCCGGUCCCGCGUUGUAGAUUGAUGGGGCGUUGCCUAGCGGCAGACCUUUCGGCCAAAGUCUCUUGGAACAGAGCGUCAUAGAGGGUGACAACCCCGUGUGUGGCCGGACGACAUUACAGUCUGUUGCGUCGAUGGCGCGUUUCCUUAGAGUCGGAGUGUUUGGGAUUGCAUUCCAAAGCGGGUGGUAAACUCCAUCUAAGGCUAAAUACUGGCGAGAGACCGAUAGCGAACAAGUACCGUGAGGGAAAGUUGAAAAGCACUCUGGAGAGAGAGUCAAACAGUACGUGAAAUUGCUAGCAGGGAAACGUUGGGCACCAGUACGCGGCAAUCAAUGUCGAUGAUCAGUCGGCCGGCGCGGCGGCUAUUGCGCGGAGCUUCCGCUUCAGAGACAGCCCCAGGGCUGCUCACGCGUAGUAGCCGGCCGUGCGGGCCGGUGCGCUCUUCGACAGCCGGGUCAACAUCGGUUGCUGGCGUCCGAUAAGCAGCACGGCAAGGUAGCAGGGUGGCGAUCUUUACGGCCGUCACUCUGAACUUAUAGGCCGGGCAGAGCGAGGACGGCGGCGACCGAGGAGGCAUUGCGGCUCGCGCGCCUUUCGGGGUGCAGGGCGUGCUGGCAGGGUUGUGGUUGCCCGUGGCGCUGGACAGCUUGCUGACCAGGGUUUACUUUGGUGCGCUUCGGCGCAUCAGCGGCGGCCGCCUUGUCGGUAC
rnacentral:rRNA from 1 species